rnacentral:rRNA from 1 species
AUGAGGGACGAGCCGCUAGCGACGGAUCCCGCGAGGCCAACCUCCAGCGCCCCUUCUCCGGCCGGCCUCGAACGACCUUGUCCCGCCGGAGCUAGGUGGGUCGAUGACCCGCUGGAUGGGAGCCGGCAUGUCCAGCUACCACCUCUGGUGCCCCGUCGCGCACCUGCCCGCCGCCAGGGGCCCGAGGGCCAAGUUGCGGGGUUGUGCGGUCGCGCUGCUCAUCCCCCGUCCGCUCGAGGAAGCAUCUCGCCGGGGUUGGGGUCAAUCUCGGGCAGUCCUGAGGAGGAGAGCGGGCGGCCUCCAUCAGUCCUCUCCGGUGAGGCCUUUGACAAGAGGGGCCAAGAUGCUACCAAGUGCCAUUUGCUUCAGUGCAUUUUGUUUGAUGAAUCUGUUCAUGAAGGAAUCUGCGGUCCUAACAAAGAAGAUGGAAAGAGUACUCCUGGAAAGUGA